UGCUUUGUCCAGUGGCAGUUAUCGUAGCCAAUGAGUUUUAUCCAAGGCGUGAUUGGAUAAGUAAAAACUUUUCCCAGUACCUGCCAUGACAACUUAAAAUAUAGUUGGCAUUGGCAAUUUUUGACAGUUUGUACAGA